rnacentral:rRNA from 1 species
AUUGAACGCUGGCGGCAGGCUUAACACAUGCAAGUCGAGCGGAGCGAGGGUGCUUGCACCUUAGCUUAGCGGCGGACGGGUGAGUAAUGCUUAGGAAUCUGCCUAUUAGUGGGGGACAACAUUCCGAAAGGGAUGCUAAUACCGCAUACGCCCUACGGGGGAAAGCAGGGGAUCUUCGGACCUUGCGCUAAUAGAUGAGCCUAAGUCGGAUUAGCUAGUUGGUGGGGUAAAGGCCUACCAAGGCGACGAUCUGCAGCGGGUCUGAGAGGAUGAUCCGCCACACUGGGACUGAGACACGGCCCAGACUCCUACGGGAGGCAGCAGUGGGGAAUAUUGGACAAUGGGGGGAACCCUGAUCCAGCCAUGCCGCGUGUGUGAAGAAGGCCUUUUGGUUGUAAAGCACUUUAAGCGAGGAGGAGGCGCUCUAGGAUAAUACCCUAGAUGCGUGGACGUACUCGCAGAUAAGCCC